UGGGGAAUUUUGGACAAUGGGCGAAAGCCUGAUCCAGCAAUGCCGCGUGUGUGAAGAAGGCCUUCGGGUUGUAAAGCACUUUUGUCCGGAAAGAAAUCCUUGGCUCUAAUACAGUCGGGGGAUGACGGUACCGGAAGAAUAAGCACCGGCUAACUACGUGCCAGCAGCCGCGGUAAUACGUAGGGUGCAAGCGUUAAUCGGAAUUACUGGGCGUAAAGCGUGCGCAGGCGGUUUGCUAAGACCGAUGUGAAAUCCCCGGGCUCAACCUGGGAACUGCAUUGGUGACUGGCAGGCUAGAGUAUGGCAGAGGGGGGUAGAAUUCCACGUGUAGCAGUGAAAUGCGUAGAGAUGUGGAGGAAUACCGAUGGCGAAGGCAGCCCCCUGGGCCAAUACUGACGCUCAUGCACGAAAGCGCGGGGGAGCAAAACAGGAUUAGAUACCCCUGGUAGUCCACGCCCUAAAACGAUGUCAACUAGUUGCUGGGGGAUUCAUUUUCCUUAGUAACGUAGCUAACGCGUGAAGUUGACCGCCUGGGGAGUACGGUCGCAAGAUUAAAACUUAAAUGAAUUGACGGGGUCAUAGCUG
rnacentral:rRNA from 1 species